AGAGUUUGAUCCUGGCUCAGGACGAACGCUGGCGGCACGCUUAACACAUGCAAGUCGAACGAGAGAAGAGGAGCUUGCUUUUCUGAUCUAGUGGCGGACGGGUGAGUAACACGUGAGCAAUCUGCCUUUCAGAGGGGGAUACCGAUUGGAAACGAUCGUUAAUACCGCAUAACAUAAUUGAACCGCAUGAUUUGAUUAUCAAAGAUUUAUCGCUGAAAGAUGAGCUCGCGUCUGAUUAGCUAGUUGGUAAGGUAACGGCUUACCAAGGCGACGAUCAGUAGCCGGACUGAGAGGUUGAUCGGCCACAUUGGGACUGAGACACGGCCCAGACUCCUACGGGAGGCAGCAGUGGGGAAUAUUGCACAAUGGAGGAAACUCUGAUGCAGCGAUGCCGCGUGAGGGAAGAAGGUUUUAGGAUUGUAAACCUCUGUCUUCAGGGACGAAAAAAGACGGUACCUGAGGAGGAAGCUCCGGCUAACUACGUGCCAGCAGCCGCGGUAAUACGUAGGGAGCUAGCGUUGUCCGGAAUUACUGGGUGUAAAGGGAGCGUAGGCGGGAUCGCAAGUCAGAUGUGAAAACUAUGGGCUUAACCCAUAAACUGCAUUUGAAACUGUGGUUCUUGAGUGAAGUAGAGGUAAGCGGAAUUCCUAGUGUAGCGGUGAAAUGCGUAGAUAUUAGGAGGAACAUCAGUGGCGAAGGCGGCUUACUGGGCUUUAACUGACGCUGAGGCUCGAAAGCGUGGGGAGCAAACAGGAUUAGAUACCCUGGUAGUCACGCCGUAAACGAUGAUUACUAGGUGUGGGGGGACUGACCCCUUCCGUGCCGCAGCAAACGCAAUAAGUAAUCCACCUGGGGAGUACGACCGCAAGGUUGAAACUCAAAGGAGUUGACGGGGGCCCGCACAAGCAGUGGAGUAUGUGGAUUAAUUCGAAGCAACGCGAAGAACCUUACCAGGUCUUGACAUCGUAUGCAUAGCUCAGAGAUGAGUGAAAUCUCUUCGGAGACAUAUAGACAGGUGGUGCAUGGUUGUCGUCAGCUCGUGUCGUGAGAUGUUGGGUUAAGUCCCGCAACGAGCGCAACCCUUACUGUUAGUUGCUACGCAAGAGCACUCUAGCAGGACUGCCGUUGACAAAACGGAGGAAGGUGGGGAUGACGUCAAAUCAUCAUGCCCCUUAUGACCUGGGCCUCACACGUACUACAAUGGCUGUCAACAGAGGGAAGCAAAGCCGCGAGGUGGAGCGAACCCCUAAAAGCAGUCUUAGUUCGGAUUGUAGGCUGCAACCCGCCUACAUGAAGUCGGAAUUGCUAGUAAUCGCAGAUCAGCAUGCUGCGGUGAAUACGUUCCCGGGCCUUGUACACACCGCCCGUCACGCCAUGGGAGUCGGUAACACCCGAAGCCUGUAGUCUAACCGCAAGGAGGACGCAGUCGAAGAUGGGAUUGAUGACUGGGGUGAAGUCGUAACAAGGUA
rnacentral:rRNA from 1 species